AGUUUUUACAUCCAGUGUCUGUGUAGCACGGACAACUGUAACAGUGGUCGCUCAAUCCUUCCCAGCAUCCUCACUGUGCUAGUCACGUGUCUUACGGCGUUAUGGGUCAUGUGGCGGUAGUGGACUUUUCAUUUGUGGAAGUGUGCCUCAUGUUUUAUCAUUUAUAGGAGACAUAAUCAUCGGAACUGUAAUUAGAUACUAGUACCGGUACAACAUAUGCUGUGUACAAUGGAAUGCUAUUUAUUGUGUUAAAUGUGUUACAUAUGGAUGGAAAAUUAACCUUAGUUUGGGUGCCUGGGAAAUCAAAUCGUAAAAGUUGAUGUUAUGCAAAUUUUUAUUACUUUGAAUCAUGCUGGUAUUGUUUAAAUAGUGUUUUUCCCCAUCUCUUUUGAAAAGUAUACUUUCUCUAAAACCAUUCCAAAUGUAUUCACUUAACAUAUAUGUGAUAUCUGACAACAGUUGGAUGAGUUUUAACUGUCAGAUCAGUGCCAUUUUGUCAACUUGAAUCUUAUAUACAUGUAUUUGUAGCAUUUUACUUUAAUUUUUCAUGUCUGUGUGUCUAUAUCAUCGUGUGGGUUAUUACAUGCUGUAUAAAUCAUCUCAUUUGUCAGCUAUCAUUGAAAUAGCAAUAUACACUCAUUUUGUAAAUAUGCCAUGUCAUCUUCUAGCAGGGAGUUGUGUAUAGACACAAAGUCAGCAUAAAAUUACAUUCCAGAGACCAUACACAAGAAUUUCAUAUCUGAACCAUAUUGAACAUUGAAAUGUAUACGGUAAUGUAUGAUGAAGAGUUUAUCCUUUGUCAUAAUGCAGACUUUUUAAAUGUCAUUGAUCAUACUAUAUUACCUUUUAUGUUAUAUAUGCAAUUAAUAUUUUUAUAUAACAAUAUAAAUAAAACAGUAAAUGG
rnacentral:misc_RNA from 1 species